GAUGAACGCUGGCGGCGUGCCUAAUACAUGCAAGUCGAGCGAACAGACGAGGAGCUUGCUCCUCUGACGUUAGCGGCGGACGGGUGAGUAACACGUGGAUAACCUACCUAUAAGACUGGGAUAACUUCGGGAAACCGGAGCUAAUACCGGAUAAUAUAUUGAACCGCAUGGUUCAAUAGUGAAAGACGGUUUUGCUGUCACUUAUAGAUGGAUCCGCGCCGCAUUAGCUAGUUGGUAAGGUAACGGCUUACCAAGGCAACGAUGCGUAGCCGACCUGAGAGGGGGAUCGGCCACACGGGAACUGAGACACGGUCCAGACUCCUACGGGAGGCAGCAGUAGGGAAUCUUCCGCAAUGGGCGAAAGCCUGACGGAGCAACGCCGCGUGAGUGAUGAAGGUCUUCGGAUCGUAAAACUCUGUUAUUAGGGAAGAACAAAUGUGUAAGUAACGAUGCACGUCUUGACGGUACCUAAGCAGAAAGCCACGGCUAACUACGU
rnacentral:rRNA from 1 species